rnacentral:lncRNA from 1 species
AAUCGUGUUGCUUUCAUUAAUAAAAAAGUUUACAAUAUAUAGGAGGCUUAAACAUGACAUAGGCUAGCUAGGUUAAAUGAAAAGCAUGUGAGGUCAAAGGGGACCAGCGUCCCGGUUUGAAAUGAACGGCUAUGGAGCUUCACACGCUUUGGCCAAGGGCUAAGGUUGCUUUUACUUUACAGCUCUUGACAGCAUGGAUCAGCCUGCCUUAUCCUCUCAACGGUCUGAUGCAGGAACGGAUGUAAGAAUGGUGAAACUCCAAGUUAACUUCAGUCGGUUAACUUGUGGUUGACUCAAUAUGCUUUUGUCGACCCGGAUGGUAUGGCCUCG